AGGACUAUUCAAUAAUAUUUUUCCUCGAUUUUCCACUCGUUCUUGAUCUAAAAUAACAAUUUCAUUCAAUUCACUAAUUCUAAUAGUAAAAUUAAAUCAUUUAAUGCAAUUAAGUCCUUUUAUGACAUUUUUACAAAAUUUCCCCCAACAUUUUACUUUUAUACAAUUUAGUAUCUAAUCCCAAAACAUGCAAUUUAACCAAUUUUAAAUAAAACCCAACCUUGCCAAAUCAUCUAUACCCUCA
rnacentral:lncRNA from 1 species